GGACUCGUAGCUCAGCUGGUUAGAGCGUCUCGUUUACACCGAGAAGGUCACAGGUUCGAAUCCUGUCGAGUCCA
rnacentral:tRNA from 1 species